rnacentral:tRNA from 1 species
UGUUCUGUGGCUUAGUUGGUCAAUGCCCUGGUCUAGUGAAUACGGAGUCGUGGGUUCGAAUUCCCACCAGAACGC